GACGAACGCUGGCGGCGUGCUUAACACAUGCAAGUCGAACGGAAAGGCCCUGCUUUUGUGGGGUGCUCGAGUGGCGAACGGGUGAGUAACACGUGAGUAACCUGCCCUUGACUUUGUGAUAACUUCAGGAAACUGGGGCUAAUACCGGAUAGGAGCUCCUGCUGCAUGGUGGGGGUUGGAAAGUUUCGGCGGUUGGGGAUGGACUCGCGGCUUAUCAGCUUGUUGGUGGGGUAGUGGCUUACCAAGGCUUUGACGGGUAGCCGGCCUGAGAGGGUGACCGGCCACAUUGGGACUGAGAUACGGCCCAGACUCCUACGGGAGGCAGUAGUGGGGAAUAUUGCACAAUGGGCGGAAGCCUGAUGCAGAAACGCCGCGUGCGGGAUGACGGCCUUCGGGUUGUAAACCGCUUUCGCCUGUGACGAAGCGUGAGUGACGGUAAUGGGUAAAGAAGCACCGGCUAACUACGUG
rnacentral:rRNA from 1 species